rnacentral:rRNA from 1 species
AAAGUCGUAACAAGGUUUCCGUAGGUGAACCUGCGGAAGGAUCAUUAAUUAUGUUAAAGCGCCUUACCUUAGGGUUUCCUCUGGGGUAAGUGAUUGCUUCUACACUGUGAAAAUUUGGCUGAGAGACUCAGACUGGUCAUGGGUAGACCUAUCUGGGGUUUGAUCGAUGCCACUCCUGGUUUCAGGAGUACCCUUCAUAAUAAACCUAGAAAUUCAGUAUUAUAAAGUUUAAUAAAAAACAACUUUUAACAAUGGAUCUCUUGGUUCUCGCAUCGAUGAAGAACGUAGCAAAGUGCGAUAACUAGUGUGAAUUGCAUAUUCAGUGAAUCAUCGAGUCUUUGAACGCAGCUUGCACUCUAUGGUUUUUCUAUAGAGUACGCCUGCUUCAGUAUCAUCACAAACCCACACAUAACAUUUGUUUAUGUGGUGAUGGGUCGCAUCGCUGUUUUAUUACAGUGAGCACCUAAAAUGUGUGUGAUUUUCUGUCUGGCUUGCUAGGCAGGAAUAUUACGCUGGUCUCAAGAUCUUUUUUUUUGGUUCGCCCAGGAAGUAAAGUACAAGAGUAUAAUCCAGUAACUUUCAAACUAUGAUCUGAAGUCAGGUGGGAUUACCCGCUGAACUUAAGCAUAUCAAUAA